rnacentral:rRNA from 1 species
AAGAGACAGCAGUAGCCACGGGAAUACGAAGGGGGCUAGCGUUGCUCGGAAUCACUGGGCGUAAAGGGUGCGUAGGCGGGUCUUUAAGUCAGGGGUGAAAUCCUGGAGCUCAACUCCAGAACUGCCUUUGAUACUGAAGAUCUUGAGUUCGGGAGAGGUGAGUGGAACUGCGAGUGUAGAGGUGAAAUUCGUAGAUAUUCGCAAGAACACCAGUGGCGAAGGCGGCUCACUGGCCCGAUACUGACGCUGAGGCACGAAAGCGUGGGGAGCAAACAGGAUUAGAUACCCGUGUAGUCCCUGUCUCUUAUAC